rfam:Stachybotrys chlorohalonata IBT 40285 unplaced genomic scaffold scaffold1830, whole genome shotgun sequence.
UGCCGCGUAUGAUGACUAUGCAUUUUAUAUUACAGUUAUCCCUGUCUGAAAUAUUUCUUUGUGUGGAUAAAGUCAAAAUUCUGAUUUCGCU